rnacentral:lncRNA from 1 species
CCGCCGCGCCGGCCCGAGCUCCGCUACCGAGAACGGCCCCGCUGCCCCCUCCCCAAGCCCCGCCACGGCAUCCCCGGCGGCGGACGGGAGGUGUGGGGGACACACGGACCCGACAUGGGACGGCGGCUCCGGGAAGCCGCUCACCGAUGCGGCGGGACGGGCCCCGCCGGGAGGGCAGCAGUAAGCAGUCUAGAGCCAAGGUGCCGACGCGCUGACUCGGGCUCUCCUCGACGGGGGUCUCCGCGCUCAUCCGACGGCCCCCCCGGGGUGAAGGCGAUCGACCCCCGGGGCUGCGGGGCUGGCAGCACCCGCUGGGGGGACGAUGCUCCCCCUCCGGAUCUACCCGGUCCCCCCGGCCCCCGGCUCCUCGAGGUGCUCAGCAUCCAGCAUCCAGCAUCCCACAUCCCCGCUCCAACUGCCCCAGGCCGCGGGGACAUGCACCCAUCGAGGCACAAGGAGAGGAUCCCAUCACAACAAGGGCUGCGCCGUGGGGCACCCCAUGCCCCAGACCCUCAGGGGUCCACCCGGGCACCCAGGGGAGCCCAGGGUACCCAUUGGCCCCCCGACCACCGCAUUGGGCUGGAGUAUGGCCCUGUCCUGGCCUUGUGGCGUGACUAUGGGGCUGGUGACAUGGGGUUGCUGGAGCCCCACAACAUGGGAAGGGGUUGCACAAGGCCCAGGGGUCCCCACGCUUAUGUACCAGCCUGGGGGUGCCCCGUGUACCCCCCACCCAUGGCAAUGUCCUGGGCAGCACCUGCAGCCUGGCCCCAGGAAGAACCCUCAUCCCUCCAGUGCCACCAGCACCCAGGGGUGCCAGCCCAGUGCCCUGCAGGAGGAUGGGAGAGCACAAAGUGGUGGUGGGGGGUGAGUUUAGAGUAUUGGGGGGUGGAGGGGGACAGUCCAUUGCAGGACCAUUCUGCCCUCAACUCUGCAGCCUCACAGUGGGGUCUUUCCAGGGGCUGGGACCCCCAAACCCCUCGUUGUCCCAGAGCCAAAUGGGUUGUAGGUUCUUGACUAAGUGAAUUCUGCCCUCCCCAUCAUCCCAAGUGCCAGCCCCCUUCAAAUAGGGGGUAUCCAGGGGGACAUGGGGGGAUCCUUCCCCCCCCUUUAUGCAUCCAUCCACACACCCCCUCCCCAAUUCCUGCUGGAGCCGUCUGACCUCACUCUGCUCUGGAGAAGCAUCAUACCGGUCUCCACAGCAACAGCGGCGUUGUCAUUGACAGCAGCAUCCGCGCCCGCCAGCAUCCGCCGCUGCGCAAGGCCGCACGCUGCUAUGGGGACCCAGGCCACGACCACCCCCCCCUUCCCAUACAUACACCCCCAAACACCUACAGAGGGAUUCAAGGAAUGACCCCCCCGCAAAACCCCAUCAGCAUCCUUUAUCCUCCAUCAACUCAGUGUGCUUUCCCCUUUAGAACCCCCCCAAAACUCUUUAAACCCCCCCCAUCCAGGGAAUAUUAUAAGGGGGUGUCCCCCUUUAC